rnacentral:rRNA from 1 species
UAUCGGAACGUACCCAAGAGUGGGGGACAACGCAGCGAAAGUUGCGCUAAUACCGCAUACGAUCUACGGAAGAAAGUGGGGGACCUGCAAGGGCCUCACGCUCGUGGAGCGGCCGAUAUCUGAUUAGCUAGUUGGUGAGGUAAAAGCUCACCAAGGCCUUGAUCAGUAGCUGGUCUGAGAGGACGACCAGCCACACUGGAACUGAGACACGGUCCAG